UUUUAUGUAAUUUCUUUACAAUUUCUAUCAUCACAGGAUAUCAGUGCCCUCCCCAGUUACACACAUCCUUUUCAUUGCAAAGACUGUCUGAAAGAUGGAAUCAGUUCAGUAAUCUGGAAAAUGAGUCCCUAGGAGAAAGAAUGCAGAAAAGAAACUACAUAAUCAUUUGAAGUUUUCUAUGAUGCAUCAAGCGUGAGAUUACUAGGGAACAAAUCAGUAGUUCCGAAGGAGGCAAAAUGAUGCAUAGGCAGUGCAGCUGAAGCACAGACUAUAAAUGGAAAUCAGGAAUCACACUGGAUAUGUUGCUGUCUGACUCUACAGGUGCUGUGCUGCGUCUCCACAGAGCUCAGGUGUCUUCUGAAGGCAAAUUACUUCAUAACCAGCACAGAACACGGUACUGUUGCCUAAAGGGUUAAAUUAUUUUUUAUCAGCUGACAAUCUUUGAAGCGUAAGUUUGUAAGUAUACCAGCAGGGAAAAAUUAAAGUGCUCCAGAU